GAUGAACGCUGGCGGCGUGCCUAAUACAUGCAAGUCGAGCGAAUGACGAGGAGCUUGCUCCUCUGAUUUAGCGGCGGACGGGUGAGUAACACGUGGGUAACCUGCCUGUAAGACGGGGAUAACUCCGGGAAACCGGAGCUAAUACCGGAUGAUAACGAGAAGCGCCUGCUUCUUUUUUGAAAGUCGGUCUCGGCUGACGCUUACAGAUGGGCCCGCGGCGCAUUAGCUAGUUGGUGAGGUAACGGCUCACCAAGGCGACGAUGCGUAGCCGACCUGAGAGGGUGAUCGGCCACACUGGGACUGAGACACGGCCCAGACUCCUACGGGAGGCAGCAGUAGGGAAUCUUCGGCAAUGGACGAAAGUCUGACCGAGCAACGCCGCGUGAGCGAUGAAGGCCUUCGGGUCGUAAAGCUCUGUUGUCAGAGAAGAACAAGUACCGGAGUAACUGCCGGUACCUUGACGGUACCUGACCAGAAAGCCACGGCUAACUACGUGCCAGCCGCCGCCGUAAAAC
rnacentral:rRNA from 1 species